CCCGCAACGAGCGCAACCCUUAUCCUUUGUUGCCAGCGAUUCGGUCGGGAACUCAUAGGAGACUGCCGGUGAUAAACCGGUUGAAGGUGGUUUAUGACGUUUGUCAUCAUGGUCCUUACGUCCAGGGCUACACAUUUGCUACAAUGGCGCAUACCAAGAGAAUUGACCUCGCGUGAUCAUGCGGACCUCUAACGUGCGUCGUAAUCCGGAUCGGAUUCUGCAACUCGACUCCGUGAAGUCGGAAUCUUUUUUAAUCGUACAUUAUAAUGCUACGGUGAAUACGUU
rnacentral:rRNA from 1 species